rnacentral:rRNA from 1 species
AGCAGCCGCGGUAAUUCCAGCUCCAAUAGCGUAUAUUAAAGUUGUUGCAGUUAAAAGCUCGUAGUUGAAUUUUCGGGAUUGGCGCAUCGGUCGUGCCUCACGGGGUAUGAACUGGUGCAGUCAAUUUCCUCGCCUUCUGGAGAACCGCNAUGUCCUUAAUUGGAUGCCGUGGGGAACCAGGACCAUUUACUUUGAAAAAAUUAGAGUGUUUAAAGCAGGCAUUUUUGCUUGAAUACAUUAGCAUGGAAUAAUAAAAUAGGACGGCAUGGUUCUAUUUUGUUGUUUCUAGGACCACCGUAAUGAUUAAUAGGGAUAGUUGGGGGCAUUAGUAUUCAAUUGUCAGAGGUGAAACUUCUUGGAUUUAUUGAAGACUAACUACUGCGAAAGUCAUUUGCCAAGAUGUUUUCAUUAAUCAAGAACGAAAGUUAGGGGAUCGAAGACGAUCAGAUACCGUCGUAGUCUUAACCAUAAACUAUGCCGACUAGGAAUCAGACGAUGUUAAUUUUUUCAAUGACUCGUU